rnacentral:rRNA from 1 species
CAGCAGCCACGGUAAUACGUAGGUGGCAAGCGUUAUCCGGAAUUAUUGGGCGUAAAGCGCGCGUAGGCGGUUUCUUAAGUCUGAUGUGAAAGCCCACGGCUCAACCGUGGAGGGUCAUUGGAAACUGGGAAACUUGAGUGCAGAAGAGGAAAGUGGAAUUCCAUGUGUAGCGGUGAAAUGCGCAGAGAUAUGGAGGAACACCAGUGGCGAAGGCGACUUUCUGGUCUGUAACUGACGCUGAUGUGCGAAAGCGUGGGGAUCAAACAGGAUUAGAUACCCCCGUAGUCCCUGUCUCUUAUAC